UGUAGUGUGGGCAGGACCUGCACCCAGGGAACACCUCCCCAGUCCCCCCAGGCACGCACCCACCCACACACUUCCCCUUUGCUAGCAGAGCUCCGCACGUUCCACUCACGGGACAUAUCUGAGCGGGGUAUGAGAGGCACUGGGGCUGCUCACCUGUCUGGAGUUCGCCUCUUCCCGUUUUCGUUCACAUCGAGAAGCAGCUCUGAGGAGUCAACAGCAAAGCCAAACCAGAAUACUACAUACUCUGAGACGGCAACAUGGGCUGUUCAGAGAUCACAGCAGUUCAGAUUUACAAACAGCAUGUGCAGAUGCUACCUCCCAAGCACUCCUGGAGCUGCAAUAAUGCCGCCUUCCUUCAAGGCUCUCAGAAGGAAGAAACAGAUGAAGAGACAAGAAGGUAACAAAUUCCUUUACGACACCUCUUGCAGAACUAAAACCUGAAGCUCUUUAGUAAAGCUGGUUCCCCAGCCUCUAAGGGAGCUAUGGGGCUGGGAGCACCCACCUCCAGCAGCUCUACACCCACCUCUGUCCCACCACCCACAACCACAGAGAACCUCAGCAGCUCGAUUUUGAAGAGGAAGAUCUCUCAGGGGAUGGAGCUCAAAGCAGAACAAAAAGAAAAAAAAAAGCCUGAUGGUAUGAAAGCUAAAGGCAAAAUGGUAUUUAAAUCGUAUUCACGAGCCAAGUUUCCCCUAAAGACAUUUUUCACAUAAACUGUCUGUGGAUACUCUGCCAUCCGUACAUUCAGAGGUGAUGAGGGUUUGGGAGAGGAGCAAAGAAUCUCUCAAGAGCAAAAACUGUAUUUUUUGCAUGUGAAAUCCCGCCUGUGUAAGAUUUCAUGUACAUUUGCUCCAGUUUUAUAACAAAGUGGCAUAUACAUUGAACUUUGCCUGAAAUGUGGAAGAACUUGAAGGAAAACCAUGUCUUAAAAUGGCUUAAUUUCUUGAAUUCCAAAACGUUUUUAUGCUUUUGUGUAAAACCAAACUCCCUGUUUGCAAAGCUAGUUCUGAUUUUUUUUUUCCUGUUGGACUCUGACAUUUUGAGCAAUAAUCCUGAAUUAGCAGGGACACACCAGAAGGUUUCAUACAGGCGGGAUCCCGUAGCAUCCCACAGUUCAGAGCACAGGCUGUGUAUACAGAGAGAGCAACUUCUUUCUGCUGCAAAGAUUUCUUCCACCAAAUCCCUCUAACUGGUGACAGACUUGCACUCCUUAGCCCAGUAUGGAUCAAAUGGGGCUGAAACCAGAGGGAAAAGUAGACAUCUGCAAUUCAUUCUGCUGUGUUCGCCGAAAUCAAUUCAGGAUGGAGAUAGAUGGUGAAAUAAUGGUCUAGUCCUAAUCCAUACACACACACAAACCUCUGGUGCAGCGAGAGACUUAGAAUAAAUUCAGAAAAUAUGUUUCAAGUAUGCAGAGAUCUAUUGCAUUUGCUUUGGAUUAUAUUUUUUUUUAAAUAAUCUGAAAUAUACAUUCUUGAAUCUCUUUUACAGGACAGAGUGAAGAACUGUGAUUUUACCACAGAAGUAUUUUUCCCGUUUUAAAUUAAAGAAUGUUGUAAAACCAGCUUUAAAUUAUGAUAUUUCUUCUGUGGAUUUCUUGGUUCAUGAAACUAUACUGUUCUUGUAAUUCCUUCAGUUUUUAUGGCAGGAGUUAUUUUUAUCACUGUAUUUAGCUGUUAGGUGAAUACUGAUACUUACCGUGAGCACAGUCAGCUUCUGAAGACAAACAGAGAAGAGACAAAAGUAAAAUGUGCGGGAGCAGGGGCAAAAAGAGAUGUGCAUGUAUUCAAACUGAUUUACUUCGCUUCCUGUAACUUAAAUUAUUGAGUCCAUUUUUAAAACAAGGCGGUCUUUCAUACAUGGCAACAUUUCAGCUCACAUGGCACCCUUCCAAGUCUAACGCAUCAAGGAAAUCUGAUGUAUGGAACAAAAUAUGGAAUAUAUAAAUACUUUACUGAUACCAUUUCAAUAGCCAAUUCAAUGUCAAGCAUUUCUGGGGUUGGUGUGUUUUCAAUUUCCUUUUUUAAAUGAAAAAAAGUAUGGUAUAAUACGCUGUGGCAUUUAUUUUACUUUUAGUUACUGCAAACAGUUCCAGAUGUAUAUUCAGGCAUGAAAGACGCUUAAAAGACGCUCUAUAUUGUACAGUACUUACUACUUCUGUGCCAACACGUUAAAAACAAAAAUAAAAAUUGCCAACUUAAAAGA